rnacentral:rRNA from 1 species
CGGACGGGUGAGUAACGCGUGGGUAACCUGCCCUGUACAGGGGGAUAACAUUCUGAAAAGAAUGCUAAUACCGCAUGACAUAUCGGAACCACAUGGUUUUGAUAUCAAAGAUUUUAUCGCUUGAAGAUGGACUCGCGUCCGAUUAGUUAGUUGGUGAGGUAACGGCUCACCAAGACCGCGAUCGGUAGCCGGACUGAGAGGUUGAACGGCCACAUUGGGACUGAGACACGGCCCAGACUCCUACGGGAGGCAGCAUG